rnacentral:rRNA from 1 species
UACGAAGGGGGCUAGCGUUGCUCGGAAUCACUGGGCGUAAAGCGCACGUAGGCGGACUCUUAAGUCGGGGGUGAAAGCCCAGGGCUCAACCCUGGAACUGCCUUCGAUACUGGGAGUCUUGAGUAUGGUAGAGGUUGGUGGAACUGCGAGUGUAGAGGUGAAAUUCGAUAGAUAUUCGCAAGAACACCAGUGGCGAAGGCGGCCAACUGGACCAUUACUGACGCUGAGGUGCGAAAGCGUGGGGAGCAAACAGGG